GACGAACGCUGGCGGCGUGCUUAACACAUGCAAGUCGAACGGAAAGGCCCUGCUUUUGUGGGUGCUCGAGUGGCGAACGGGGGAGUAACACGUGAGUAACCUGCCCUUGACUUUGGGAUAACUUCCGGAAACUGGGGCUAAUACCGGAUAGGAGCCCCUGCUGCAUGGUGGGGGUUGGGAAGUUUCGGCGGUUGGGGAUGGACUCGCGGCUUAUCAGCUUGUUGGUGGGGUAGUGGCUUACCAAGGCUUUGACGGGUAGCCGGCCUGAGAGGGUGACCGGCCACAUUGGGACUGAGAUACGGCCCAGACUCCUACGGGAGGCAGCAGUGGGGAAUAUUGCACAAUGGGCGGAAGCCUGAUGCAGCAACGCCGCGUGCGGGAUGACGGCCUUCGGGUUGUAAACCGCUUUCGCCUGUGACGAAGCGUGAGUGACGGUAAUGGGUAAAGAAGCACCGGCUAACUACGUG
rnacentral:rRNA from 1 species